AGAGUUUGAUCCUGGCUCAGGACGAACGCUUGCGGCGUGCCUAAGAAAUGCAAGUCGAACGGGGACUUCGGUCCUAGUGGCGAACGGUCGCGUAACACGUAAGCAACCUGCCCUGAAGUGGGGGACAACAUCCCGAAAGGGGUGCUAAUACCGCAUGUGGUCACGAGUCGGCAUCGGCUUGUGUCUAAAGAUUUAUCGCUUCAGGAUGGGCUUGCGGCCUAUCAGGUAGUUGGUGGGGUAAUGGCCUACCAAGCCGACGACGGGUAGCUGGUCUGAGAGGACGAUCAGCCGGAUUGGGACUGAGAUACGGCCCAGACUCCUACGGGGGGCAGCAAUUAGGAAUCUUGCGCAAUGGGGGCAACCCUGACGCAGCGACGUCGCGUGAAGGAUGAAGGCCCUCGGGUCGUAAACUUCUUUUGAGUGGGAAGAAAUUUGACGGUACCACUCGAAUAAGCCCCGGCUAACUACGUGCCAGCAGCCGCGGUAAU
rnacentral:rRNA from 1 species